CUUGGAACCAUGCAUGAAAAAGGGUCCGAUAAACCCGUGAGUUGCUGCCUCCAGAGCCCCAGCCCCCUCCUUCCAGGGGCAAAUCCAGUCUGGCCUCGUCCCCACUCUCUUUCCUGACAGCAGAGGGGACACAUUCCUGUGCCCAUCCCUUCACUGCCAUGGGCAGUCUCGAAUGACCUGGGGGGCUGCAGAUGGCCAGCAGACUCAACACCUCAAGCCAGAAGGAGGUCCCUGUAGAGCUGGGAGCAGGGGCUCCUGUCCUGAGGACAUUUACGACACUGGCAGCAUCGCUGUUGGGUGUCAAUCCGGGCACAACUCUUCUUCCCUCCCUGAUUUCUCCACCUUUUGUGGUGUCACCUAUAAAGUUUGGUCAGAGAGGUGAUGGCGCUGGCUGGGCAGCUGGCCUCUAGUGUGGGCGUCCAGGCCAAGUGAGCCCCUGGGGGUAGACAGCCCCUGAGCAGCUCUGGAGUGUUUGAAUUCUGGACUUCAGCAACUCCUGGACGUCAUGUCUGCACCGGGGACAUUCUGCCCCACGGAACCAUCUCUGUAUCUCAGCCUUAGUUCAUGCCAACAGUUUAUGCUAAUAGUGGGACAUGUGGUGGGGACCUUGGUGUGGCUAGAUGCCUGUGACCUCCAGCAGGGCUGGAGGCUGGGUGACUGAUGUCAGGCAGGCUGGUGCUCCAGGCAUGUAAGACCAAACCCCACUACAAUCCCUGGACACCAGGGGUCCAUUGAGCUUCCCUGACUGGCAAUUCUCUGUACCUUGUCACACAUUGUGUUGGGGAAUUAGGCACUGACCAAUGGGAGAGGACCAGUGGAACCCUGUCCAGUAUCACUCAGGUCUCUGUCCUGUGGGCUUUCAAUAGCG
rnacentral:lncRNA from 1 species